AGGAGAGGAAGUGCGUGUGAGGAGCUGGGAGCAAGAGGCACAAGGAGCUGAGAAGGAGCUGUUUGCUGAGCUCUGGUUUCAGGCACUGAUUGCAUUUUUAGAUUUAUUUUUAAGAGCACUGAAGCAUCUGCACUUGAGAAAAAAGAAAUCUAAAGGAUUAAGUGUACUUUUCACAGAGCUGUAAAAUACAAGUUGCUUCAAAGAUUCAAAGGAGAAAUGGAUGAAAAAUGGACUCAUUAAUUCUGCUGCAAGUGUUUUCAAUUAGUGUCACUUGAUUUUCAAAGCUCAGAAUGUACCACCUGGAAUCACAGAGGAAAAACAUUACCCUAAGUAGUUCAUUUCGGCAUGAACUAGCUGUGCUCUGUGACCCCUAGCUGGGUAGGAGUUUUAUUUUUUAAAUGCUUGUUUAACCCAUUCAGACCAUGUCUCAUUGACUCUGCAGCCUUAAUUCCUAGUACCCAUGUGUCCCCUAUUUCUCUGAUUGUUUAGCCACAUGGUAAUGGUAGAGUUGUCUCUUGUGAGCAGAUGUAUUCCCUGGGUUCCCACUGUUCACACUAAUUGGAUUCCUUUGUUGUUUUCUGAGCACACUCUUGCGGUGCAGAUAUAUCUGGCAUCCACUCCUAACAGCUUAGACCAAACAACCCACUGCCCAGUCCCUGAAACUAGUGCUGGCCGCUCAGACUGCCCACUCCCCUACCCCCAUAGCUCCAACACACCCUCUCCUAGAACUCCACUCCAAGGUGUGAACCUUCUGUUUUACCUCUUCAGGGGUCCACGUGGUAAGUGUAGCAUGCUUCUGCUCAAAGCAUCUUUGUAUUAUAUAACACAUUAUUGCUCUUUACUUAACCACAAAAGAAAUACACAGAUCUAUACAAAAAUAAUAAAUCCUAAAACAUGCAUUUCCCUGCCUCAGUUU